AUGGAGGGCGCGGCGCAGUCCGUUGUGAGCAAUGUUGGGCAGCUGGUGGCCAAAGAGUUCUGGCUGCUCCGCGGCGUCGGCAGCGAGGUCGUUGAGCUGAGGGACGAGCUGGCAACCAUGAACGCCCUCCUCCUUAUGCAGUCUGAAGCCGGUGAGGGUGGAGUGGACCACGUCGUCAGGGAGUGGAUGAAGCAGGUGCGGGAGCUCGCAUGUGACGCCGACGACUGCGUCGAUCUCUACAUAUUCCGCAUCAAGCGCCGUCCCAGCGACGGCUUCCUCGUCAAGUCCAAGCGCCUGCUUGCGACCCUUUUUCCUCGCCGUCUGCUCGCCGGUGACAUCAGAGCCCUCCGCUCCCGAGCUAUAGCCAUUAGCGAGCGCCAUGCUCGUUACAGCUCUAGCCGAACGGUAUACCUCUCUCAGCUUGCCCCUGACCCGGCAGUGACGGACCUGUCCACACAAAGGCUUCGCCCUGGCCGUGCCGACGCCAACGACCCUGAUGAUUUCGUGGGCGUUGAAGAGCUCAACACAGUGAUCGACAUGGUGGAAGGCGAAAAGGAUGACGGCAAGCUUAAGGUUUUCUCCAUCGUUGGGCUCGGAGGGCUCGGCAAAACUACGCUCGCCUUUGAAGUUUGCCGGCAGGUGAAGACCAAGUUCCAGUGCCAAGCGCAGGUGUCCGUGUCUCGGGCGUUUGACAGCAGCAAGGACCUGCGGGGGUUGCUGAAACGCGUGCUUCAGCAGAUUUUGCAGGCUGAUGAAAGCCAUAGAACUAUACCUAAAGCAGUGAACCAGGUUCCUACUAUAGGCCAAGCAACUAAGAAGAAGUGUAAAGAACAAGAUAUGUUGAUACUAGCAUAUUGGAAGAAUUUCAAUGAUGAAACUAGGUACCUCAUUGUGCUUGAUGAUGUAUCGACAGUAGCUGUGUGGGCUGCAAUCCGGUCCAAAUUGCCAGAAAGCACAUGCGGCAGCAUAAUUAUUGUGACAACUCAGUUAGAUAGUGUGGCGCAAGCAUGCAGUGGAGCAAGUGUAUGUGAAGACCACAUAUACCAUAUGAAGCCGCUCAACCGUGAAGACUCGGAGAAGCUUUAUGUGAGGAGAGUACUUGGUAUCAUGGAAGGUGGGCCCAGGGGAGACUCUAUCCACAAUUAUCUCAACGAUGAAAUUAACCAAAUGUUGAGGAGAUGUGGGGGGCAUCCGUUAGCCAUUGUUUGCAUUGGAGGCCUUUGGGCAAGCCAUAGUUGGCGCGAUUCCACAGUUAUGUGGGGAGACAUUUGUAGAUCAAUCGGUUCAUCCAUGGAUACCUACCCAACCCCUGCUGUAACAAGGAAGAUCGCCGUGCUUAGCUUCAAUUACCUGUCUCGUGAGCUCAAGCGUUGCAUGAUGUAUCUUAGCAUUUUCCCGGAGGAUUAUCUAAUCAGCAAAAUCCGGCUCUUGAAAAGAUGGAUUGUAGAAGGACUGAUACCUGAGAAGCAGGGGCUUACUUUGAUGGAGACUGCUGAGGCCUACUACAAUGAGCUGGUGAAUAGGGGCAUGAUUGACCAAGCUGGCUGUAUAGUUACCUACUGUAAUAGGGUGGAUAUGUGUAGGGUGCAUGACAUUAUGCUUGAUGUUAUGGUGUCCAAAUCCCUAGAAGCUAACUUUGUUAGCUUGGUGGGCACUCAGUAUGACGGGAUGUCAUACGAUAUUGUUCGCCGUCUCUCCAUUCAUGGUGCAGAUGGGGGGAACCAAUACUAUCGAUCCAGGAAAAUGGUGAAUGGAAUUGAGGGGAUGAACGUGCAGCAUGUCCGAUCACUGAGCACAUUCCGGUCUGAAGGCCACAAGUUGCUGCUAGACCAGCUAGGGAUGUUCAAGCUGCUGAGGGUACUUGAUCUGGAAGACUGCAAGGACCUAAAAAACAAGCAUUUAAGGUACAUUUGCAAGAUGUACCUUCUUAAGUUCUUGAGCUUGAGGGGUACAGAUGUCAGUAUGAUGCCUCGCGAAGUCUGUGAUCUAGAGCAUUUGCAAAUACUUGAUGUCGGUGACACUCUCCUCGACACACUUCCCAAGACUAUGAUAAAGCUGAUCAAACUUGAGCGACUGAUGUUCUCCAACAGAGAAAGGCUGUUGACCCUAUGGAUACUGCCCAAAGGAAUCUCAAAGAUGAAGGCAUUGCGUGAAGUGAGUAGAGUAGCCAUAGAAAAUAUUGAGGUUGCCAUAGAGAUCGGUGAUCUACAACAACUGGAACAGAUAUUUGUUUAUGUCAACACAAGUUCCAAGCAGGGCAAGGAUAUUAGACGAGAGCUAAACCACUCCCUAAGCAAGACAGCAUACCUUCAGUGGCUCCACGUGGCAGAACUGCAAGAUGUCCACAACAAUGACAUGGACUAUCAUCCCCUGCUGGAUCUUGACAUGCCACCACAGCUUUUGCGGUACCUUAGCUUUGGUGGAUUUAUUCCUCGGAUUCCCGACUGGGUCGGUUCACUUGCAUUUCUUGCCGAGUUCACUAUUUCAGGCACAAAACUUGUUGGCAACCAACCAUUUGAGGUCCUUUGUAAAGCUCGAAACCUGAAUCACAUCACAUUUCAGAUGGAUUUUUACAUUGACAGAGAUCUGGUUGCAUGCAGUGCCCACAAGUUUUCUUCGCUCAAGAGCGUAAGAGUCAUCGCUGCUGCUGAAACUCCUGAAAUGUUCAGUUUUGAGGAAGACUCCAUGACACCUCUCGAGAUACUUGAGGUGGACUUCGGAGACUGGCAGAAGAGCAUUGCUGGGAUCGAGCACUUGAAGAACCUUAAACUGGUGCGACUCAGUGGUAGCAGCAAUAAUGCUUCACUGAUGGAAGUAGCGGAAAAGCUGAAAGAAGAGAGUGACAGACGAGGCAAGUCCGACGACAACAAUCAGCGCCCCUUCACGGUUGGAGUGAGAUACAACUGA
rnacentral:rRNA from 1 species